GUCAAAUUUCACAGCUCUUUCAAUUCAACUGCAUUCCAUCAUAAAGUUUACUACACUUUCUGUAAAUUCUAUGAGGAUGAUAAACAAUGAGCAAAAAUAGUUUACAAUGGAACUUUUCAAAACAAAACUGAAAACUACAUACAUACAACCUUCCCCUCCUUUGAUUUAUUAAUUCAAUUUCAUCCUGUCCUAAAGCAGAGGAAUCAUGUAACCAUAAUUUAUUAUCUGUAUUCACCAGCUAUCAUAUUACCAAUUUCCUGUAGUCUUUGUUCAG
rnacentral:misc_RNA from 1 species